GUCGGAGUAGCUAGCCGAUGAAUUAGUAGCUGUAGUUCUUGACGAACAUGCCCUCCUUGGCCUCGGCGGCCUCGCCGUCGGAGGUGUACUUGCCGAGCUGCGCCAGCGAGUUGGCCUUGGCGCGCAGCAGCAGCGCGUCCUGCGCCGCCUUGACGUUCUCCGGCACGCCGCCCCACGUCUUGAGGCAGGUGUUCUGCAGCGCCCGCGCGUAGGAGAAGGACACGUGCCACGGGUUGGGCCCCUGGUUCAUGGCGUUGAGGUUCUGCGUCGCCUCCACCUCCGACUGCCCGCCGGAGAGGAACAUGAUGCCGGGGACGGAGGGCGGGAUGCGGCGGUGGAGGAGCUUCAGGGUGUACUCGGCGACCUGCUCCGGCGUGGCCCGGUCCUUAGCCUCGGCGCCCGGCGUCACCAUGGAUGGCUUGAGCAGGAUGCCCUCGAACAUGACGUUGUUCUCCGCCAUGGCGUAGAAGGUCUCGGCCCACACCUUCUGCGCCACCUCGAAGGUCCGCUCGAUGCCGUGCUCGCCGUCCAGCAGGAUCUCCGGCUCUACGAUCGGCACAAGUCCGUUGUCCUGCUCGGUCGAUUCCAUUCCAUCGGUGUUAGCUUUUAUUAAUUAGCUGGAUGAACUAUCUCCAUGGCUAGAAGCAAGCAAGAAGGCGUACCUGCGAGAUGGCGGCGUAGCGGGCGAGCCCCCAUGCGGCCUCCUUGACGGCGAGCUCGGAUGGCCCGUUGGGGAUGCUGACGACGGUGCGCCACUUGGCGAAUCGGGCGCCCUGCUGGUAGUAGGCGGCCUCGCGGGCGGCGAGGCCGUCGAGGCCCUGGCACCAGGACUCGUCGUUGGAGCCGGCGAGCGGGACGAGGCCCUUGUCGACCUUGAUCCCGGGCACGAUGCCCUGCUCGGUGAGGAUGUCGACGAUCCGGCGGCCGUCGACGGCGGACUGGUAGAGCGUCUCCUCGAAAAGGAUGGCGCCGGAGAUGUAGUUGCCCAGCCCCGGCGCGGUGACCAGCAGCGUCCUGUACGCCUGCCG
rnacentral:lncRNA from 1 species